AUGACACAGGUGCCAUCUGACCCGGGUCAUCAUAGGGAAGAGGCGAGAGAAGAGCCGGCCCAGGCUGCGGUGGCGGUGACAGAUGAGCCUCGGAAGCCCGCUUCAGCCUCUGGAGGGGGGCUCCCUACGUUCCUCUCCCACGUGGACUCGGCCCCAGAGCCCCAGAGGCUCCCGGCUUUCUUAACGCGAGCUGUUGCCUCGCCCGCUGCAGGUGAGUCCUCACCCCAGCGGCAGCGAGAACCCGGGUCGCCUCCUCCUUCCCCUCGUGGCGCCCCUCCCAGCCCUCCUACCUGCUGGCGGGUAGCCUUUCCACCUGCUGGGACAGCUGCCGGCUUGGACUUCAGGGCACGUGUGCCCCUGCUCAGCGGUCUGUGUCUCGACGGUCCCUCUGCCAUCUCUGGAACGUUCCUGGGAUUUGACUGGGGGCUACUCCGCUCUUGCCCUGGCGAGACCGCCCUGCCCAGGUCCCUGGCUCAGUCCCGGGCCACUUCACUGGGAUGUGGAUCCCCGCACGGGCCGGCGGCUGUGCAGGGACGGGGUUCGGGGUCGGGGGUGGGGUGGGGGGCUUCCCUGUCUGCCCCGGGCUCCCAGGCCCUGGACCAGGACUGUGGUGGGUGGAUCAUUCCAGGGCCUCCGCUCUUCUCUUGCCAUCACCAUAUGCCUCCCCCUCCCCUUGCCAUCUCUUCCCUUCCCUGAUGGUUUUGAAUGGAAUGUCAAAUAAAAUAAAAAAAUUGAUUAAAAGUUGCAAACGGUGUGAGUGAAAAUAAAAGCACGUAAGACC
rnacentral:lncRNA from 1 species